rnacentral:rRNA from 1 species
AUUGAACGCUGGCGGCAGGCCUAACACAUGCAAGUCGAACGAGUGGCGGACGGGUGAGUAAUGUCUGGGAAACUGCCUGAUGGAGGGGGAUAACUACUGGAAACGGUAGCUAAUACCGCAUACCAUCGGAUGUGCCCAGAUGGGAUUAGCUAGUAGGUGGGGGAAAGGCUCACCUAGGCGACGAUCGCUAGCUGGUCUGAGAGGAUGACAAUCCACACUGGCACUGAGACACGGUCCAGACUCCUACGGGAGGCAGCAGUAGGGAAUAUUGCGCGAUGGGCGCAAGCCUGAUGCAGCAAUGCCGCGUGUAUGAAGAAGGCCUUCGGGUUGUAAAGUACUUUCAGCAGGGAGGCGUUACCCGAAGAAGAAGCACCGGCUAACUCCGUGCCAGCAGCCGCGGUAAUAC